GGCUACGUAGCUCAGCUGGUUAGAGCGCAGCACUCAUAAUGCUGAUGUCGCUAGUUCGAAUCUAGCCGUAGCCACCA
rnacentral:tRNA from 1 species